rnacentral:rRNA from 1 species
AACCGCGGUUAGACGAGAGGCUCAAGUUGAUGAUACACGGCGUAAAGGGUGGUUAAGGGAAACUUUAUAAUAAAGAUGAACGGUCCUUCGGCUGUCAUACGCCUCUAGAGACUUGAAACCCAUAGCGCAAAGAUACUUUAGAAUAGUCAACCUGACCCCACGAGAGCUAAGAAA